rnacentral:rRNA from 1 species
GAUGAACGCUGGCGGCGUGCCUAAUACAUGCAAGUCGAGCAAACAGACGAGGAGCUUGCUCCUCUGACGUUAGCGGCGGACGGGUGAGUAACACGUGGAUAACCUACCUAUAAGACUGGGAUAACUUCGGGAAACCGGAGCUAAUACCGGAUAAUAUAUUGAACCGCAUGGUUCAAUAGUGAAAGACGGUUUUGCUGUCACUUAUAGAUGGAUCCGCGCCGCAUUAGCUAGUUGGUAAGGUAACGGCUUACCAAGGCAACGAUGCGUAGCCGACCUGAGAGGGUGAUCAGCCACACUGGAACUGAGACACGGUCCAGACUCCUACGGGAGGCAGCAGUAGGGAAUCUUCCGCAAUGGGCGAAAGCCUGACGGAGCAACGCCGCGUGAGUGAUGAAGGUCUUCGGAUCGUAAAACUCUGUUAUUAGGGAAGAACAAAUGUGUAAGUAACUAUGCACGUCUUGACGGUACCUAAUCAGAAAGCCACGGCUAACUACGUG